rfam:Gossypium hirsutum cultivar TM-1 chromosome 10, whole genome shotgun sequence
GCGUUUGCAGGUGCGGCAUCAUCAAGAUUCGCAAGCUUUGGUAAGGGCUUCUCUCUUCUUCCAAGUGUCCUUUCAAAUGGAAUCUUGAAUCUUGAUGAUGCUGCAUCAGCGAACGU